AGGCCCGAAGAGAGAAGCAGGGUCUGAUCCGUAGCCUCUGUGGCAGCUGUUGAUCAGCACUUAUCUCUCUCUUUCUCUCCA
rfam:Myotis davidii contig168128, whole genome shotgun sequence.